GAUGAACGCUGGCGGCGUGCUUAACACAUGCAAGUCGAACGAUGAAGCCCAGCUUGCUGGGUGGUUUAGUGGCGAACGGGUGAGUAACACGUGAGUAACCUGCCCUUCACUCUGGGAUAAGCCUGGGCAACUGGGUCUAAUACCGGACAGGAGCGUCCACCGCAUGGUGGGUGUUGGAAAGAUUGAUCGGUUUUGGAUGGACUCGCGGCGUAUCCGCUUGUCGGUGAGGUAAUGGCUCACGAAGGCGGCGACGGGUAGCCGACCUGAGAGCGUGACCGGCCUCCCGGGUACUGCGACAGGCCCCAGUCUCCUACGGUACGCAGCAGUCGGGAAUAUUGCACAAUGGGGGCAAGCCAGAUGCAGCGACGCCGCGUUCGGGAUGACGGCCUUCGGGUUGUAAACCUCUGUCAGUAGGGCAGAAGCGAAAUUGACGGUACCUGCAGAAGAAGCACCGGCUAACUACGUG
rnacentral:rRNA from 1 species